UGCUAUGGAGGAUAAUUAGUGGCAGACGGGUGAGUAAUGCAUAGGAAUCUACCUAGUAGUAUGGGAUAGCCACUAGAAAUGGUGGGUAAUACUGUAUAAUCCCUGCGGGGGAAAGAUUUAUCGCUAUUAGAUGAGCCUAUGUUAGAUUAGCUAGUUGGUAGGGUAAAGGCCUACCAAGGCGAUGAUCUAUAGCUGGUCUGAGAGGAUGAUCAGCCACACUGGAACUGAGAUACGGUCCAGACUCCUACGGGAGGCAGCAGUGGGGAAUAUUGGACAAUGGGCGCAAGCCUGAUCCAGCUAUGCCGCGUGAGUGAGGAAGGCCUUAGGGUUGUAAAACUCUUUCAGUAGGGAAGAUAAUGACGGUACCUACAGAAGAAGUCCCGGCAAACUCC
rnacentral:rRNA from 1 species